GUGGAUAUUUUAUUUAAAUAUAUUAUUAAUCAUGGUUGAAAUCGCAGUGCAGUGAUUGCAUUGCAAUCGUAUCUGGUAACUAUGUACAUUGUUUAUAUCUCCUGCGCCUCUAUAUCAUAACUUUAUUCAUAUUGACCAAUCAGGAUGCAGCAUAGGUACCGUUGAUAUGUCUGGCAUUUCAUAUCAACCAAUCAAGAGCUAGUAUUCAUAUUUCCCGCCUCAUUAAUUAGCCAAUCAGAUUUUAAGUCAAUUAUCAUCGUCUGGCAUCAUCGGCAGUUUCAGCAUUCAAAAUAAUAACUUGCAGCAGCAAACACCUUGUUUAAACUAAGGCUAAAGAUUUUUAUUCUCA
rnacentral:lncRNA from 1 species